GUGGGGAAUCUUCCGCAAUGGACGAAAGUCUGACGGAGCGACGCCGCGUGAGUGAAGAAGGCCUUCGGGUCGUAAAGCUCUGUCAUCAGGGACGAACGGCCGGUGGAGUGGAAAGCCACCGGAUUGACGGUACCUGAGAAGGAAGCCACGGCUAACUACGUGCCAGCAGCCGCGGUAAUACGUAGGUGGCAAGCGUUGUCCGGAAUUAUUGGGCGUAAAGCGCGCGCAGGUGGGAUCUUAAGUCCAUUGUUAAAGUUCGGAGCUCAACUCCGUGAUGGGAUGGAAACUGGGAUUCUUGAGUACCGGAGAGGAAAGCGGAAUUCCCCGUGUAGCGGUGAAAUGCGUAGAUAUGGGGAGGAACACCAGUGGCGAAGGCGGCUUUCUGGACGGUGUCUGACACUGAGGCGCGAAAGCCAGGGGAGCGAACGGGAUUAGAAACCCUUGUAGUCC
rnacentral:rRNA from 1 species